UACAGAGGUCUCAAGCGUUGUUCGGAUUCAUUGGGCGUAAAGGGUGCGUAGGCGGCGCGGUAAGUCGGGUGUGAAUCUCGGAGCUUAACUCCGAAACUGCAUUCGAUACUGCCGUGCUUGAGGACUGGAGAGGAGACUGGAAUUUACGGUGUAGCGGUGAAAUGCGUAGAUAUCGGGAGGAACACCAGUGGCGAAGGCGACUUCCUGGCCUGUUCUUGACGCUGAGGCGCGAAGCUAGGGGGAGCAAACGGG
rnacentral:rRNA from 1 species